UUAAGAACAAAUUAUUAUUUACAAUGACGGCCUAACAAAAGUCAAAAGGCACAGGGGCUGGGAUAAAAAAAAAAAUAUAUAUAUAUAUAAUAAUAAUAAUUAAAAUAAAAAAUACAUGUAUAUAUUUAUAUUUAUAUGUAAAUAUAGGACAAAACACACAUCACAACAAAACAGACAACACUACAUCAAGAGAGACCUAAGACAACAACAUAGCAACGCAGCAACACAUGACAACACAGCAUGGUAGCAACACAACAUAACAACAACAUGGUAGGAGCACAAAACAUGCUGUAAAUAACACUGGAAACAUGUGCAUAGAUAAUUAUUUGUUAAAUUAUCUUACAGUUUGUUUGGAGUGAAUUCUAAAACUAACUGCUAUUCUGAUGAGACAACACCUUCUUCCUUUUAUUGUAGUUGCAGUGGAAACCACGUUACUGGAUCUUACUAGUAGCCUUGCAUACCCUACAACCAUUUUCAUGAUUCACAUUCAAUACUCUCCAAAUACCAACAUCAGCACAGAAACAGAGCAGACAGCAGUCAAAUCAACAUAAAGCUAUUCUAGUGAUUCCGUGCUUCAGCAUGUCUUCUACAGACAGUAGUAGAUCUACAAAACACAUUCUAAACAAUGUCUUUGUAUAGAACUCACAUAGAACAAUCAUUUUCACAGGCCAUAUGUUCAGUGGUUCACGACCAAUCACAACAGCGUGAGACAAUAUACUGAUGACAUUGAUUGUUUCCUAAUCUGCUGAUACAAUACAAAGGCACUGUUGCGAUAACCUUUCAUAUGGAACACGUGAAAUGGUAAGGCUAUAUUCUGGAUAUGAAAGGUAUUUGUGCACGAGAUAAGAAUGUCACGAGGUAAAAUUGCCUGCUUCUGAGUGUGUACGUACGUGUAAAUCAGAAUAUCUUUAAUGCUAAGAAGUAGAAGCUCAGUAUUGAGAAGUCAGUAUAAAAACAGAGCUUGGCCGGUGUUGAUUAGUGGAAGGUCAUGCAUGGAUCUUUACACAUGCUAAUAGCCUCUAACACCUUGUCUAUUGUACUCGUAUCACACCCCAGUUCAGCUCAGUAGGCAAUCUACUCCAAACAUUUAUUUAGGUGGCCUAUAACCUAGUUCCUACAUUUGAAAAACAUCUUAAUAAGAACGAUAAGACUAUAAAGUUAAUGGUGUCUAUAUUCAUAGAUUCAUCAAUUAAUGAUCCAAUAUCAAAUCAAACUUCAAUUCAAACUUUAUUUGAAGUGCAUUUAAAAUAGUAAAACACUUAAAACAAUCAAAUUAAGAAACAAGCACGGCAAUAUAAGAGAUCACAUGUUAUCAAAGAACAUGAAACAAAAGCGUAACUGAUUAAAGGCCAAGCUAAAAAGGCUGGUUGACAAAUGGGAUUUUAACACAAUCAGUUUCACAGUACAAUGCAAAGUUCCAUAUACAAAACAGACAAUAAAACGUAUAAAAAGUAUGAUACACUUUCUGAAAUAAACACAAACAAUGAAUAAUAUAUAUUUGUAUUUUUAAAUACCGCUACAAAUGAAUAAAUAAACAGUAGCUCUGCUCUCAAAACUCCCACUGGUAGGUCCCUUGAUGUCUUAUAGUUUCACUUCCAAGUAGCCUAAUGAGAAUUUGUUCUUAAUAACUGACAUGCCUGGUUAAAGGCUAAACAAAAAAAUAUCUAAUGCCUCAAAAGCAGCCCUGCUUGAAACUGGUACUACCACAGCCACUGUCUCUGUAGUCCUGGCAAACUGUACUUUAUACUGCCGAUAUGCACAACUCUUCAUAAUUCUCUGAACUGGCAUAAACUAUGCCUCUGAUACAGAUUCCGAUGCCUUGUCCCUGUACCUCAACACGGGGCUUGAAAUGAUAUUGAUUCAGAUGUUUCUCGAACCAAUUUACACGAGCCAUGUGUGAUUUCAUAUGCUGGACCAACAAGCACACACGACAAGAGAACAACUGUGUUACUAAGCCCGGUGUUAGCUCUACAUCUGGUUGAAAGCAUGGUAGGCCCAUCUGUCAGCGAAGAAUCACUUUGCAAGUAAGUGAGUGAUGAGCGGAAAAACUUCUACUUUGAUCAGUGCUUAUGACCUCUCCCCAGCAUGUCUACCUUUUAAUGUCGUUCUGUCAGCUGUACAAUGGUGUUUGGAUCCAUGAAUGUGAAGACAAACAUAUCAUUACCAUCUUCACUUGUUAUGACAAACAGCAGGGAUCAGACAUUAUUGACGGCGACCCUGGAGCAAUUCGGGUUAAGUGCCUUGCUCAAGGGCACAGACACAUUUUUCAGCUUGCCGGCUCGGGGAUUCAAACCAGCCACCUUUUCAGUUCAGCCUGAAGGGACUUGAAAGACACUGCUAGGCUACCUGCUGUCGUUCAAGUCCCUUCAGAGUGAAUAGGAAGUAAACACAUGUCCAAUUUUUCCAUUCUUGUGCAUUGAAAUGAGAAAACCCAGAGGAGAUUAGAGAUUUUCGCGGGUAGUUGGCCCAUGUCUGAAGGUGCUUUCGGGGCAUCAACUUUAAGCUGUAUAUUUCUUAGUAUUACAUCAUUCAGCACACCAAUAUUCUUAGACGGUAAAAACGUGUUUUGCUGUCCCCAGUAAAAUAUUUUGCAUAUGGUCCACGACAGCCAUGUCUAUGGGGAUGAAAUGUGUCAAUUUAAAUAGCUCUGGCCCCAGUUUCAGUCUUUAUUGUUUUCCUCUCUGCCUUGGUCUUCGCCUGUGUCCACAUACUGCCUUGCAUUUUGUUAACUUCAGUCUGACGUUGCAGUACAUGGUUGUCCGUCCGGUUUAUGAUGGAGUAAUCUGCAUUCCAAAUACUACCGUUGCACCAUCGAGAGUGUCCUGACUGGUUUCAUCAUGACCUGGUAUGGGAAUUGCUCCGUCCACAAGAGCAAGGCCCUCCAGCCGGUGAAGAUGGCCCAGUACAACACUGGGACUGUGAUCCCACCCAUACAGGACAUCUACUUGAAGCGGUGCCUAAGGAAGGCACGCAGCAUCAUCUAGGACCCCACACACACCAGCCAUGAGCGUUUAUCUCCCUUACCGUCGGCAGAUGGUAUCAGAGCAUGAGGACGGAUACCAACAGCCUCAGAGACAGUUUCAGAACUGUAUUCUACUUAUGCUCAGGGGAGUACUGGGGACAUUCCGAAAUUGCAUUUCCCCCCCCAGUUUUAUCAUUGGAAUGUGAUACAAAAUGAGGCAACGCUGUGCUUUAGGAUAAUGCGGACGCCUCAGGGUGGUCGGGUAGACUGUUUGGAGUGUUUAUACGGCUGGAUAAAACAAAUUAAGUUGCGCCCCUGUUUAUGCUAAAUUUGUAUUAUAUUCUACUGCCAUUUACUUUAUGUUCGUAUUCUUAUAUUUUAUUAUUUCUUAUUGUUGUUGCUUUGUCGAGAAGGAACCUGCAAGUAAGCACUUCGUUGGAUGAUAUACAGUGGGGCAAAAAAGUAUUUAGUCGGCCACCAAUUGUGCAAGUUCUCCCACUUAAAAAGAUGAGAGGCCUGUCAUUUUCAUCAUAGGUACACUUCAACUAUGACAGACAAAAUUAGAAAAAAAAUCCAGAAAAUCACAUUGUAGGAUUUUUUAAUUAAUUUAUUAGCCACAGUUCAAGUCUACCUAAGGGGUGGCUAUCUCACAGACACUAAUGCGAUAGCAGCUGGGUCUGGUCUAUUUGUAUAUGAACCAGGAAAAAAAAGUCUCUGCUGGAGCGACCAUGUACCAUGUAUCAGAGUUUCAGUUUUGAUGGGACCGGAACUGUAAUUUCAUAAAACAUUGGCUCAAACUCAUCAGCCAAUAAAAUGCAUGGGCAUAGUGAUUGAAAGGUAAAUAAUCCAAUUAAACGAACAAUACCAGAUGAGGGUGUGACGGUUGAAAAUGACCAAUCAAAUUCAUGUGAUUUGAAAACGCAGCCAUCUCAACCAGUUCAAGGCACAACAAUUCAAUGGGAGGGUGUUUUUCUACUGGCGGUCAUUAGAAAAAAUAUACUCAUGUAACUAACAAUGAACAACUGCCGGGAAUUUGUACUCGUCGCACCAUGCCAUGUAAAUGGUUAGGGAUAACAUUUAUAAAUGGUACUGCGAGUACUCUAUAGCCCACAGCCACAACAUUCCAAAUGAGACUGUCAAGAAACAUUGACGGGGCUGUAAUGGAGCGGGUUGAGAGUCUCAAGUUCCUUGGUGUCCACAUCACCAUCAAACUAUCAUAGUCCAAACACACAGAGACAGUUGUGAAGAGGGCACGACAACACCUUUUCCCCCUCGGGAGACUGAAAAGAUUUGGCAGGGGUCCCCAGAUCCUCAAAAAGUUCUACAGCUGCAACAUCGAGAGCAUCCUGACAGGUUGCAUCAUCGCUUGGUAUUGCAACUGCUCUGCAUCUGACCGUAAGGCACUACAGAGGGUAGUGCGUACGGUCCAGUACAACACUGGGGCCAAGCUUCCUGUAAUCCAGGACCAAUUUAAUAGGCGGUGUCAGAGGAAAGCCUAUAAAAUUGUCAAGAGACGCCAGUCACCCAAGUCAUAGACUGUUUUCUCUGCUACCGCACGGCAAGCGGUACCGGAGCACCAAGUUUAGGUCCAAAAGGCUCGCUAACAGCUUCUACCCCCAAGCCGUUAGACUGCUGAUCAAUUAAUCAAAUGGCCAUCCAGACUAUUUACAUUGACACCUCGCCCUUUGUUUUUACAUCACUACUACUCACUGUUUAUUAUUGUGUGACUUUAUAUUUUAUUUUUUACUUUAGUUGAUUAAGUAAAUAUUUUCUUAACUCUAUUUCUUGAACUGCAUUGUUGGUUAAGGGCUUGUAAGUAAGCAUUUCACGGUUUGGUGUUAUAUUCGGCGCAUGUGACAAAUAACAUAUUUGAAAUAAAUUGAGCUAGCAUAGCUAUCUCUGCUUGCUGGCACUGUAGCAGCUAUAACAUUGGCAGAGAUAGCUACAGUAGCAAUGUAGUCAAUAACUAACAUUAACAUGAUCAUGUUACAUGGAUUUUUGUUGACAAGAACAAGCUACUGUUUGCUGGCAAGUAAAAUGAACUAGCUAGCUACAAAUCUUCCAAAGCAGUUGGCUAACGUUAGCUUUCCAACGUUGGCGGAAGAACGGAUAGCUUGGUAGCUAUUGAACGUUAGCUAGCUAACCAAGCCUAGUAAAAUACAGCAAAGGAGACAAGCGGCUAUUGAUUAAAAAAAAAUAUAUUGAUACAAUUCGUUUUUGGGACCUGCCGGAAGUCUCUUUGUGCAAAGGAAUGAUGCAUCACCAAAUGAGGGCAUGGAUUUCCAACAACUCAUGUCAUAACCAGGCUGAAUCAGAUGCCGGUCUACAACAUGGUGGCUGAUAUGGACGAUAGACUGAUGACACAAGUAGCUCAACUAGCUAUUCCAACAACAACAGCAGCAGCUACAGCUAAGCACUUCUGCACCUGAAAGGAUGACGGGCGUUCGUCAGGCAAAAUAGAAUGAGCUAUCCCGGACAGUAAGGGAUCUACACAUUAAUGCUGGAACAACCGCCCCGCACAACACCUGUGUACUGUCCGCUGGUCAGUCAGCUGAGAGGAAGGUACACAGAUGGAGAGUAGCGCAUGGUAGAAUAUGAAAAUGCAGCUGCAAAUCGGUGUUGGACUGAAAGAGAUGCAUAAGUCGUCAGAGACCCCAGAUGGAGCCAAGGAACGGAACAUACAAAAGAGAAGACUGCGUCGCCAGAGACGGGUU